UAUCUACAUUCAUUAGCGGAGGAAAGAAACUAACAAGGAUUCCCCUAGUAACUGCGAGUGAAGCGGGAAAAGCUCAAAUUUAAAAUCUGAUGGUCUUUGGCCAUCCGAGUUGUAAUUUAGAGAAGCGACUUCCGCGCUGGACCGUGCACAAGUCUCCUGGAAUGGAGCGUCAUAGAGGGUGAGAAUCCCGUCUUUGGCACGGAUGCACCAGGGCUUUUGUGAUGCGCUCUCGAAGAGUCGAGUUGUUUGGGAAUGCAGCUCAAAAUGGGUGGUGAACUCCAUCUAAAGCUAAAUAUUGGCGAGAGACCGAUAGCGAACAAGUACCGUGAGGGAAAGAUGAAAAGCACUUUGGAAAGAGAGUGAAACAGUACGUGAAAUUGUUGAAAGGGAAACGCUUGAAGUCAGUCGCGUCGGUCGAGACUCAGCCUUGCCUCGGCUUGGCGUACUUCUUGGCUGACGGGUCAGCAUCAAUUUUGCCCCUCGAAUAAUGGCAAGGGAAAUGUGACACCUUUUAUAGGUGUGUUAUAGUCUCUUGUCGCAUGCGAGGGUCAGGAUUGAGGAACUCAGCACGCGCCUUUCGGUGUCGGGGCCUUGGCCCACGAAACGUGCUUAGGAUGUUGGCGUAAUGGCUUUAAGCGACCCGUCUUGAAACACGGACCAAGGAGUCUAACAUGCCCGCGAGUGUUUGGGUGGAAAACCCAUGCGCGCAAUGAAAGUGAAAGUUGGGACCUCUGUCGUGGAGGGCACCGACGCCCGGACCAGACCUUCUGUGACGGAUCUGCGGUAGAGCGUGUAUGUUAGGACCCGAAAGAUGGUGAACUAUGCCUGAAUAGGGUGAAGCCAGAGGAAACUCUGGUGGAGGCUCGUAGCGAUUCUGACGUGCAAAUCGAUCGUCAAAUUUGGGUAUAGGGGCGAAAGACUAAUCGAACCAUCUAGUAGCUGGUUCUGGCGAUUU
rnacentral:rRNA from 1 species